rnacentral:rRNA from 1 species
CGCCUAACACAUGCAAGUCGAACGAAGUAGCAAUACUUAGUGGCAGACGGGUGAGUAACAUGUAGGUAUCUGCCCUUUGGCCUGGAAUAACACGAGGAAACUUGUGCUAAUACCGGAUAAGUCUUUACGGAGAAAGCUUUAUGCACCAUUGGAUGAGCCCGCACUUGAUUAGUUUGUUGGUAGGGUAAUGGCCUACCAAGACUAUGAUCAAUAGCUGAUUUGAGAGGAUGAUCAGCCACAUUGGGACUGAGACACGGCCCAAACUCCUACGGGAGGCAGCAGUGGGGAAUCUUGCACAAUGGAGGAAACUCUGAUGCAGCGAUGCCGCGUGAGUGAAGAAGGCCCUUGGGUUGUAAAGCUCUUUCGUCGGGGAAGAAAAUGACUGUACCCGAAUAAGAAGGU